rnacentral:rRNA from 1 species
GCAGUCGCGCGGACUUCUUCGGAAGUCAGCGGCGGACGGGUGAGUAACACGUGGGCAAUCUGCCUCUUAGACUGGAAUAACGCCUGGAAACGGGUGCUAAUGCCAGAUGGAGCAACGAACAGGCAUCUGUUUGUUGGGAAAGGUGCUACGGCAUCGCUAAGAGAGGAGCCCGCGGCGCAUUAGCUAGUUGGUGGGGUAACGGCCUACCAAGGCGACGAUGCGUAGCCGACCUGAGAGGGUGACCGGCCACACUGGGACUGAGACACGGCCCAGACUCCUACGGGAGGCAGCAGUAGGGAAUCUUCCGCAAUGGGCGAAAGCCUGACGGAGCAACGCCGCGUGAGCGAAGAAGGCCUUCGGGUUGUAAAGCUCAGUCACUCGGGAAGAGCGACCUAAGGAGUGGAAAGCCUUAGGGGAGACGGUACCGAGGGAGGAAGCCCCGGCAAACUACGUGCCAGCAGCCGCGGUAAUACGUAGGGGGCAAGCGUUGUCCGGAAUCACUGGGCGUAAAGCGUGCGUAGGCGGUUUUUUGGGUCUGGGGUGAAAGUUCAGGGCUCAACCUUGAGAAUGCCUUGGAAACUAGAAGACUUGAGUGCU